GUCCACCCAGGGCUCACCUGGGUGGACAACAGGGGCGGAACCGGAUUCUAGUGGGGCGGGGGAUGAGGGAGGAGCGGUUCAGUCAUCCCUCAAGGUUCUCACUUUGAGAUCUGGCAGAGCCUGGAGCUCCGUACUCUGCUGAUGGUGUCUGCUUCCCUCAGACCAAGUUGAUUUUGGGAGUAGAGCACAGCAGCCUGGGCUUGAUUGUCACUUUGGCAGCUACAGCAUUCACUGCAGCUGUGAACGGUAGCAGUGAAAGCAUACAUCAAUGACUUGCUCCUGACGAGAAUGGGAAUGCUUCUAACAUUUCACAUUCAAGAGAAGGAGCCUUGGAGAAUUCGUUGAAUAAUUGCCCGUAUUUUGGGAUUAUUUGGAAGAGUUAAUAUGGUGAUUCGUUUUCCCUGACCACUUGGGGGAACUGACCCACAAAACUGCCUGCCUUAGAACGGUAGAGGGUGGAUUGAGCUUUAAAUACAUUUUCAGUUUGUGGACGUACCAUUGGUUUUAUCCAUUCACCAAUUGGAAAAAGUAUUGAUUGUCAAUUUCAAAUAAGCUGCUAUAUAUGUUUUUGUGUACGUGAUUUUGUGUGUAUGAACCUGUUUCCAAUUUUCCUUGAUAAAACCUAGGAGUACAAUUGCUGUGUGUAAUGGUAAGUCUAAGUUUUGCUAUAUUAGAAAUAGCCAAAGCCCCUUCUAGAGUGAAUGUGUUCUUUUUCUUCUCUACCAGCAAUGAAAGAGAAUGCCACAUCUUUUGUACAAUUUGGUAUUUUCAGGUUGUUGCAUUGUAUCAAUUGUAACAGGUGGGUAGAAGAAUGUUACUGCUGUUUACAUUUGUAUUUUUAUUGAAUAAUUAUGGUAAUCAUCUUUUCAUAUGCUUUUUUGUGAUCUGUGUAUCUUCAUUGGUGAAGUCUUGAAAUCAUUUACUAUUUUAUUGGACUCUUCAUUUUUAUGUGGUUGCAUGUUAUAAGGUGUUUAUUCAUUCAGUAUAUGAAUCCUUUAUCCGACACGGGGUUUACAAGUAUUUUCUCCCCAUUUUUGGCUUUUUUCCCCAUUCCUUUAAGUGUUUUUUUUUUUUUAGUAAACAUUUUAGAGUAAUUUUAAAUUUACAGAAAAGUUGCGAAGACAGUUAAGAGGGUUUUCCUAUACAUCAUGUCCAGUUUCUCCUAUUAUUAACAUCAUGCAAUAAUAUGAUACAUUCUUCAUAAUUCAUAAAUCAAUAUUCACCUGCACAUUCCUGUCAUUGUUUGAGGAUCCCAUCUAGGAUACCAUGCUACUUUAGUCUAAGCUGUGAUAGUUUCUCAGACUAUUCUUGUUUUUGAUGACUUUAACAGUUUUGGGGAGUAUCGAUCAGGCUAUUUGUGGAAUUACCCUCAUUUGGUAUUUGUCUGAGUUUUUUCAUAUAUAGACUUGAGUAAUGGCUUUGGGGUAGGAGACCAGAGAGGCGAAAUGCCAUUCUCAUUACACGAUAUUUUAGCAACAUGACUCAUCGCUGUUGAUGUUGACUGAUGAACUGGCUGAGGUAGUGUUGUCAGGAUUUCCCUCUGCAAGGUUAUUACAUUCCCCCCUUUCUGUAUUGUGCUUUAUAAAAGAAAGUCACUAAGGGCAGCCAUUGGGUAGUAGGGAAGUAUGGUCCACCUUCUUGGGAAGGGGUAGUAUUGACAUGAAUGAUUUGGGAUUCUUCUCAAUGGGAGAUUUGUUUAUUCUCCCCCAUUAUUUGUAUUUAUUUAACCUUCAAUUUGUCUCGGCUGAACUCAUGGUAAUUUAUUAUAUGUUUGGGGUUAUAAUUCAACACCACUUUUAUUUUGCUGCUCAGAUUGUUCCAUCUUUGUCCAUUGGAAGCUCUUUCAGUUGGCUCUGAUGUCCCCUUCACGUAACUGAGCCAUUACAUUUGUUUGUAGCUCUGUCUUACUUUAUGGUAUGACAAGAUGAUGCAGGCUCAUUUUUAUAUUUCCUGUUCCAGUCAUAGAAGAGUCAAUUUUCCAUGGUUUCUGCUUCCUUUUAUGGGAGAAGAGUAUUGGAAUGUGAGAGGUGGGUGCUUGGCAUGCUCAUUGUUCCUGAGGAUUUGUUAUUCCUAGCCACCUCAAUUCUCAGAGUAAAGAUAUAUAUUUUGGUAUAUUAACCUGUGUAUAUACACAUAUCUAUAAUCAGAAUUCUUAAACCCAGUCCCUGUGAGAAAUAGCUUUAGAAGCCAGACAAUACUGCUUCAGUACAGUUUCUUUUAACUUCGGUCCCAGAGACUAACUUCCACAGGUACUUAGGACAGCACCAUAUCCCCAGAUACUCAUUAGAGGUUGUUUCAUAGAUUUGUAACACAGUUAUAUUGUUUUGUCAUAUUCUAUACUCCACCUUGGCAUUCCUCGACCUCCUAAUUUUUUCAAUUUUGCAUACAUUGAGGUUUACUCUUUGUGCUUUAAGGUUUUAUGCUUUUUGACAAAUGCAUAAUAUAUUCCAUUUUUUGACAGCAUGUCAUCAACCAUGACAUGACAAAAUCAAUCAUUACAGUAGCCUAGAGAAUAGUUUCACCUGUCUAAUAAAUUCCUUCUGCUUAUCCUAGUCAUACCUUUUCCCCACCCCUGAUCCCUGGCCACAACAGGUAUUUUUACUGUCGUUAUAGUCUUGUCUUUCCAGAACGUCAAAUAAAUUGCAUCAUAUACUAUGUAGUCUUUUCGGACUGGCUUCUUUUACUUAGAAUUAAGCAUUUAAGAUUUAUUCAUGUUUUUGUGUGCCUAGAUAAGUAAAUAUUUUGGUUGAUGAAUAGUGUUCUGUUGUUGUUGGACCACAGUUUGUUUAUUCAUCUGUCUCUUGAAGAACAUCUUUGUUGUUUCCAGUUUUGGCCAAUUAUUAAAUAAGCUGCCACACCCAUUCAUAUGCAGGUUUUUUUUGUGGGCAUAAAUUUGCAAAUUAGUUCAAUGUAUACCUAGGAGUGUCAAGAAUUUGUUCAGCUUUGUAAAAAAAUCAACUGACAAACCAUCUUUGAAAGUGGCUGUACUACUUUGCAUUCCCAACAGCAACAAAUGAGAGUUCCUUGUUGCCAGGAAUUGGUAUUGUCAGUAUUUGGAUUUUGGACAUUCUAAUAAGUGUGUAUCUUUGUUAUUUAAUUCAUAAUUCUCUAAUAAAGAAUGACAUUGACUAUGUUGUCUUAUGCUUAUUUUUU
rnacentral:lncRNA from 1 species